rnacentral:rRNA from 1 species
UACGGGGGGGCAAGCGUUGUUCGGAAUUACUGGGCGUAAAGGGCUCGUAGGCGGCCAACUAAGUCAGACGUGAAAUCCCUCGGCUUAACCGGGGAACUGCGUCUGAUACUGGAUGGCUUGAAUUCGGGAGAGGGAUGCGGAAUUCCUGGUGUAGCGGUGAAAUGCGCAGAUAUCAGGAAGAACACCCGUGGCGAAGGCGGCUCUCUGGGACGGUACUGACGCUGAGACGCGAAAGCGUGGGGAGCGAACAGG